UACGGAAGGUGCGAGCGUUGUUCGGAAUCACUGGGCGUAAAGGGCGCGUAGGCGGAUUUGCAAGUCGAUUGUGAAAGCCCCGGGCUUAACCUGGGAAUUGCAGUCGAAACUGCAAACCUUGAAUGCUAGAGAGGGUGGCGGAAUUCCUGGUGUAGAAGUGAAAUUCGUAGAUAUCAGGAGGAACACCGGAGGCGAAGGCGGCUACCUGGCUAUGCAUUGACGCUGAGGCGCGAAAGCGUGGGGAG
rnacentral:rRNA from 1 species